rnacentral:rRNA from 1 species
UACGGAGGGUGCAAGCGUUAUCCGGAUUCACUGGGUUUAAAGGGUGCGUAGGAGGGCAGGUAAGUCAGUGGUGAAAUCUCCAAGCUUAACUUGGAACUGCCGUUGAUACUAUCUGUCUUGAAUAUUGUGGAGGUGAGCGGAAUAUGUCAUGUAGCGGUGAAAUGCUUAGAUAUGACAUAGAACACCAAUUGCGAAAGGCAGCUGGCUACACAAAUAUUGACACUGAGGCUCGAAAGCGUGGGGAUCAAACAGG